UGCUAUACAUGCAAGUCGAGCGGACAGAAGGGAGCUUGCUCCCGGAUGUUAGCGGCGGACGGGUGAGUAACACGUGGGUAACCUGCCUGUAAGACUGGGAUAACUCCGGGAAACCGGAGCUAAUACCGGAUAGUUCCUUGAACCGCAUGGUUCAAGGAUGAAAGACGGUUUCGGCUGUCACUUACAGAUGGACCCGCGGCGCAUUAGCUAGUUGGUGAGGUAACGGCUCACCAAGGCGACGAUGCGUAGCCGACCUGAGAGGGUGAUCGGCCACACUGGGACUGAGACACGGCCCAGACUCCUACGGGAGGCAGCAGUAGGGAAUCUUCCGCAAUGGACGAAAGUCUGACGGAGCAACGCCGCGUGAGUGAUGAAGGUUUUCGGAUCGUAAAGCUCUGUUGUUAGGGAAGAACAAGUGCAAGAGUAACUGCUUGCACCUUGACGGUACCUAACCAGAAAGCCACGGCUAACUACGUGCCAGCAGCCGCGGUAAUACGUAGGUGGCAAGCGUUGUCCGGAAUUAUUGGGCGUAAAGGGCUCGCAGGCGGUUUCUUAAGUCUGAUGUGAAAGCCCCCGGCUCAACCGGGGAGGGUCAUUGGAAACUGGGAAACUUGAGUGCAGAAGAGGAGAGUGGAAUUCCACGUGUAGCGGUGAAAUGCGUAGAGAUGUGGAGGAACACCAGUGGCGAAGGCGACUCUCUGGUCUGUAACUGACGCUGAGGAGCGAAAGCGUGGGGAGCGAACAGGAUUAGAUACCCUGGUAGUCCACGCCGUAAACGAUGAGUGCUAAGUGUUAGGGGGUUUCCGCCCCUUAGUGCUGCAGCUAACGCAUUAAGCACUCCGCCUGGGGAGUACGGUCGCAAGACUGAAACUCAAAGGAAUUGACGGGGGCCCGCACAAGCGGUGGAGCAUGUGGUUUAAUUCGAAGCAACGCGAAGAACCUUACCAGGUCGUGACAUCCUCUGACAACCCUAGAGAUAGGGCUUUCCUUUCGGCGACAGAGUGACAGAUGGUGCAUGGUUGUCGUCAGCUCCUGUCCUGAGAUGUUGGGUUAAGUUCCGAAAACACCGCAACCUUGAGCUCGUUGCAUCAAUCAGUUGGCACUCUAAGGGGAACUCCCGGUGACACC
rnacentral:rRNA from 1 species